UUGUGGAAUCACAUUGGUUCUCCAUUGUACAUCUCGUGGGCAACAUUGUAUCGUCUUCAUCAGGAAAAUACCGAUGCCAGUGACAGUUGGGCAUGAUCUUGGUCAGAUCUUAGCUCGGAAUUUCAAUGACGGAACAUUGAUAAGACAGCAUUAGUAUAACUAGCUCAUGAGCCUUCGAGGUGCUGACGAACCCGAUUUUAUCAUUACUGUGCUAACCGCCUUCUGCAAGGAUACGGAGGAUUGAAUUAAGAAAAUGGAAAUACAACACAUGAUGCGGCGUCAGCAUAUCCGCUCAAUUGCAACUUGGCUCGAUAUAAUCAAAGAAAGCAGCCUCUAGUACGUUAUACAUCAUGAUAGUUUAUAAUAAACAUAGAUCAAUUUCUUCCUAGCAUCCAUUGCAUUUGUUGUUUGAUCUAAGUUUAUUAUAUUGGUGUCAUGAGAAUCUUACCAUGACAUUGCUGUGCCAUGAGAGAUGAGACCCUCGCCAACAGUACAUAACCAUUAAUCAGUCUAGGAAUCCGAGGGGUCGUGAUAUGUACUUUCCUGUGAUCACUAUUGUGCCCUCACCAGAAGGCUCUCAUGAUCUUCUCGAUUUCGGACAGCACCUUUCUUUGAAACAAGACACCUUGCGAUAUAGUAAGCUGGGAUCUGGACGUAGUUUUUAAAUUGGCCGACUGCAAUGAGAUAGAAAAAAAAUCAACGAUGAAGAUAUGAUUUGUUAUUCUUGUGUUUAGCCGUACCUCCUCUAAUUAGUUCCUCGUUGAGUUUUAGAAUGGUGCUUCCAUAUGCAUCCACUGAAAAAAUGGAUAAUCAAAGGAGAAAUUUGUAAGUUGUGACACACACACACACAUG